GACGAACGCUGGCGGCGUGCUUAACACAUGCAAGUCGAACGGAAAGGCCCUUCGGGGUACUCGAGUGGCGAACGGGUGAGUAACACGUGGGUGAUCUGCCCUGCACUUUGGGAUAAGCCUGGGAAACUGGGUCUAAUACCGAAUAGGACCACGCGCUUCAUGGGGUGUGGUGGAAAGCUUUUGCGGUGUGGGAUGGGCCCGCGGCCUAUCAGCUUGUUGGUGGGGUAAUGGCCUACCAAGGCGACGACGGGUAGCCGGCCUGAGAGGGUGGCCGGCCACACUGGGCCUGAGAUACGGCCCAGACUCCUACGGGAGGCAGCGGUGGGGAAUAUUGCACAAUGGGCGCAAGCCUGAUGCAGCGACGCCGCGUGAGUGAUGACGGCCUUCGGGUUGUAAACCUCUUUCAAUAGGGACGAAGCGCAAGUGACGGUACCUAUAGAAGAAGCACCGGCCAACUACGUG
rnacentral:rRNA from 1 species